rnacentral:rRNA from 1 species
CCCUUAGAUGUUCUGGGCCGCACGCGCGCUACACUGACGGAUUCAACGAGCUUACAACCUUGGCCGAAAGGUCUGGGUAAUCUCCAAAAUCCGUCGUGAUGGGGAAAGAUUAUUGCAAUUAUUAAUCUUCAACGAGGAAUGCCUAGUAAGCGCAAGUCAUCAGCUUGCGUUGAUUACGUCCCUGCCCUUUGUACACACCGCCCGUCGCUCCUACCGAUUGAAUGGUCCGGUGAAGCGUUUGGACUAUGGUCUUCUGAUGGUCCGCCGUUGGAUUACCGUGGGAAGUUCGUUAAACCUUAUCAUUUAGAGGAAGGAGAAGUCGUAACA